UUGCUGCUAGGAGCCAAGGGACUGAGGACUGUGUCCCUGGAGGGUGAAGAAAACUUCAAGCAGCCUCUCUUAGGGCAUGUCUACACUUAUCUCUGGAGCAAUCAAUCCAACGGUGGUCUAUUAUCAUGUCUAGUGAAGACACGAUAAAUCAACCACCGAGCACUCUCCCGUCGACUCUGGUACUCCACUGGCGCAAGAAGCAUAGGCAGAGUUGACGGGGGAGCGUCAGCAGUUGACCUACCAGUGAAGACACCAUGACUGGCAAGCACACCUAGCAGCUUUCCAUUGUUGUGCAGCUGCCCACUGGACCAUGCUGGCUACAUACUCCAGAGGCACUCCAGCUUGGAACAGACAGGGGAUAUUGGAUCUCCUGGGCCUGUGGUGAGAAGAGGCUCUGCAAGCACAGCUGUGGACCAGCCAUAGAAACAUUGACAUCUACGAGCAGAUUGCCUAGGAAAUGCAGCAGGAGGGGGACAAUGGGGACCAGCAGCAGUACCGUGUGAAAGCAAAGAAACUGCAUCAGGCAUAUCAGAAGGCCAGGGAGGCCAAAAGUCAACCAGUGCUGAGCCACAGAUCUGCCACUUUUACAAAGAGUUACAUGCCAUACUGGCAGAGACCCCACUACCACUCUGCAGACCACCGUGGAUACCUCAGUGGAGCCCAAGUCACUUCCCAAAAGACAGUGCACUGGACAAUGAGGUUGCACAUUGGGAUACCUACCUGUUGCGUGCUGCACUGUUCAUCAACACAAGCACUCCUGGAAAGUAUGCACAGUGCUGGCAAAAGGAGCCAAGUAUAUACGCACAUAAGCGAUAUACUUACUGCAGUGGCUUUAUGCUGAUGUGACUUGUAUUGACCAAAGUUUGUAAUGUAAACUUAGUGACCCCAUUGAAAUUUAUCAUUUCAUGUGUCAUAAAGGCUUAAAGCAGUUCUUCACUGAUUGCGGCAGGGGGGGAGAAGUAAGCUAUGAAGUAAGCUUAUUCUCUCAAAUUAAGUUUGUUUAAAAAAAUUAAAUAUUCCUAUGGAAAAUUCAGUUUCAACUGGUAAUGAGUCUAUUGUCAAUUUUGUUCCUGCAUCUACUGGUCCUAUAGUAGAAACCAGCAGGAACUAGUUAUGAUAACUAUAUGGAGACCAGUUGAAGAAUUCAAAUGUCCUUAAAAUCUGAGUCUAUGAACUAUUUUGGCUGGAGGUCCAAACUGAAUCCACUUCCCUGUCAAUCUUUUAUCUAGUUGAAGAGAGACCGGACUCUUAUACUACUACACAGUUCUCAGCACCAUUUCUACUCUGUAUCAAUUAUUGACAGAUUAAAGACAUCUUGUCACAUUAUCUUUUUAUAGUUUGUCCACAUGGUUGUUACUCUUUUCAAGAAGGAUUGGAACAUAGGGGUCUUCUAUUCUGUACUCCUUUGCUUCUGGAGUCCCAAGUAGCAUUAGAAAUCAAAAGUGUUGCUCAGGACUGCUGAAAGCACAUUGUCGCUUUAUAUUUUAAGCACAUAAAAUAGGAAGUGCUGAUCUCAAAUUUAAAGUCCAACAGUAUAUGGUGCAUCCCCAGUACCUCAGAAACCAUCUUUCUCUCUCCAUCAAAAAAGAUCAGGUAUGAUGUAUGUGCAUUAACAAUCCAUGUUUGACUAGAUGGGGUUGCAGUGGGUUUUCAGUGCAAGGUCCUUGAAUCUGCUUCUUUAAAGAGCCUAUCUCUGUGACUGAGAUCAGAGGAUAUUUGUGAAGUUAGACUCAGUCCCAGGAAGUAUGGGCCAAAUCCUCAGCUCGUAUAAAUCUACUGACUUCAGAGGAGCUAAACAUGGAUUAGCCAGUUUUGUAGUCAUCUUUAUCAUUUGCAAAUACACCUGAUAAACUAUGAUGAGCACAUUUGAAUAGCAAAUUAAAAAAAAACAUCAUGCAUGUUCAUGGAAAAUAUCUCUUGCUUUAAGAAACUCUCAGAUAAUCUGUCCCAACAUGCACUUAAGCAAAUGAAUUCAACAAGAGCAGCCUACAGAAAACCUAUGACAAUGACCACAAAAAAGGGGUUUAACAUGUACUGCACAUUAGUGGAGCUACCAUUUUCAAACAAUGAUAGCACUAAGUUUUUCAAGCAUAUCUCUACAACAAGCAAAGAAGGGAACAUAGGCAUAAAGUGUCCAUUGUAAAGCAAUUCUAGACCUGUUAGCUGAAAGUACACUGCCGAUUCUCAGCCUUGUGUUUCAGACCAUAAUUUUACUCCCUCUGUUUCUUGGGCAAAUUAAAAGCUAUAUCUCUUAUCAAAGUUUAUCAGAACUCCUACCUUCUGAACCUAAGGCUAGCUGUGUGUCUAGGAAAAUUAUGUGCAAUAGGCAGUGACAGCCAUGUAGUCUAGUGUGUUAAAUGCUAGUGAACAUACAUGUAAAGAUCAUUCUGCUUUCUAACUUGAACAACAUUUAUGCAUACUUUUAAAGAGCUCUUGGGUUGUGAAAUAGGAAAAUAUUUUGAAGGGACUAGUUAAUAUGGUCUGUGUUUGGCAUACUAAAAGUCUUUAAAACUAUGCAGUAUUAAGCACAUCUGCUCAUGCUAACCCUUGUGUUGCUCUAAAAUAACUUUAUUGGAACUCGCAGACGCUGUUUUAUUUUCUUGGGCUGUGCUUUUGUUUUCAAUGAAUAGAUUGGUAGCACUCUUUGACCUCCAUUGAAAGUGCAAACAGUACAUGUGCUUUAAUUAAACAGACAAAAAAUUAUGGUGCUUGAGAAUGCCAGCUUUGUCAGUAUCCAAGCAAGGGCUUGUCUAGUUGCUUUGGUGUUUUAUGGCCUUGAAAUGAGCAUGCAAAAGGGCAGUAUUUAAGAUGCCCCAUACGAAUUGUGUUGUGAAAGGUUUUCUAAGCAAUGGGCUUCUGUGUAUGUGUGUAUGUAUAAUUUUUAAAGGCUGCAAGUAGUUUAAAAUCAUCCUUUCCAAACUAUCAGACCGAGAGAAAUACUUCCAAAGAACUGGGCUUUUACUCUUUGGCUCAAAAAUCUAUGCCUUGCUCAAGGCUGCAGCUCUUGACAAUGUAUGCUUCCUUAUUGCCCUUACGCUGUAAGUAGCCCUGGUUUUAUACUUUCCUCUUUAGACCUCUUUGGUUUAUAUGCCAUGUCAUAUUGCUUACACUGUGAUCAGAGGUAUUUAUCUCUUUCCUUUCCUAAAUGAUAUUGUUGUCACAUUGACUUUCUCUGUUGCUCUGACUAGAAAGACUGGAAGGCCUGUCCUUGUUGUGUUUAUGGAAUGCAUGGUCUGGGUUUGAAUAACGCUUGCAGGUUUGAUCUGUAGCUUCCAUUUACUGUACAUUUUGAAAUAAAUACUGUAGCAUUGCUACCUAAAAAUACUGCCUGUUCCUAUUUUUGAAUGCAUAGCUUCUAUUCCUCAGUAGCAUUUAUUUCCUUUUAACCAUCUUUUUCCUGUCUCAGCAGUUUUAGGAGUCUUUUAUGGGUCAUUCUACUUUUUGCUACUUGCUGUUGAUGGCUGUAGUCAAGUUGGAGGACGUGAUGCAGUAUUCAAUUUGCCAGUGUUAUCUCAUUUGAAGUAGUAUUAUAAGAGAGAAGGUUAUUAACAUAUCUCAUUUACAGAAUUAAAAAGGGAUAUUAAUACAAUAAAAGGAGACAGUCGAACAGCCUUGCAACCAUUUGUGGACUGUAACAUAACAAGACAAGGUCACUAGAAAGAAAUGCAGGCUCGAAUUCCUCUCUUUCUGUGUCCCAAGGAAAUGCAUGGCCAUGCCUGUCCAAUCGUGCACUAUUUGUAGUGUCUAUUUGCACCAAUGCAAUUGGAGAUCCCCAGUUUUUAUUUCAUUAGAGAGGCACCAUGAUCCAGGAAGGGGGCUGGGUGCCAAGAACUCAGAGGUUCACAUUGUGAAAUUCAAUUAGAUAAUGUUUGUCAGGACCUUAGAAGAU